GUGAGUAGGGAUUGCACACAUCAAUUGUAUUUAAUGUCAGAACUAGCUGGAUAUGUUUUCACGUUUUUCUUUUUUUAUACUUACAUUUUUGUCAUGGUGUCAACAGUAUAAUUUUAUAGGAAAACGUUUAUUAACAUUGUACAGUUAAGUAGGAUAAGUGGCAAAUUGUCACAGUAGGAAAGCAUUGGUAUGGGAAUGAGAAUUCCUGAGGACAGGUAGCAGAUCUGUUGCUAAUGAGCAAGGUCAUGUCCUUUCAUUUCCAAAACUAACAGUCUGCAAAAGCGAAGAAUAAGAAAUGCCAACUCGGCCAGGCAUUGGUGGCGCACACCUUUAAUCCCAGCACUCGGGAGGCAGAGGCAGGAGUUCGAGGCCAGCCUGGUCUCCAAAGCUAGUGCCAGGAUGGGCUCCAAAGCCACACAGAGAAACUCUAUCUCGAAAAACCAAAAAAAAAAAAAAAAAAAAAAGAAAAAAAAGAAAAGAAAAGAAAAGAAAAAAGAAAAAAAAAAGAAAUGACAACACUGGGGCUGGAAUGAUGGCUCAGAGGUUGAGGUUAAGAGCACUGGCUGCUCUUCCAGAGAACCUGAGUUCAAUUCCCAGCACCCACAUGGUUGCUCACAACCAUCUGGUGUGCAAGGAUACAUGCAGGCAGAACACUGUAAACAUAAUAAAUAAAUACAUUUUUUUAAAAAAAAGAAAUCCCAGCAACCAUACAGGAAUAUGAUCAAAUGUGAUGCUGACAUACAGGCCAUGUUAACAUUCUUCUUGACACUGGCUUCUCCGUUAACAGUGAUUUAGAUGAAAAUCUAUGUAAAUGACCAAUGUGAGACAAAUCCUCAGGUAAAUAUUCCAAAUAGAUAAUCUAUUCUCACUCAGCCACAGAUAAACAACUCAACUAAAACUAGACAAUGAGCUUGAACAGGAUCUUCUUUGGAAUAGUCUACAGAUUACAAAUAGUCAAUAGAUAGACGAGAAGAAGAUGCCAAACACCCUCAAUCACCUAGGAGAGGACAUCAAAACUACAAGGAGAUGCUUCCUCUCACCUGUCAGGGAGCUGUUAUCAAGAAGACAAAUGGUAACAAAUAUGCGAAAAGCUGUGGGGGACAGGAGCCCUGUCCACUGUUGACAAGGAUGUACAGUGAUUAUGACAGAUGAGAAGAACCUCAAUGGGGGGCCUCCAAACUAUUGAAACAGAUGCUAUCUCCAUCUCUCAAGUGAUACAGCAAUUAUAAAGGUUAAGAGGGUAAAUCACCUGUUAGACUUCCUCACCACAAAAACAAGCAAGCAAAGAGAUGCCAGGAGCUGUAGGAUUUGGUGGAUGUGUCUAGUAUGGUGAAAUUUGCAUAUUCCCAACUCAUCAAGUUGUCCACAUCAAAUAUGUAUGGUUCCUCGUGUAUCAGUUAUCCUAAAAUGAAGCUGGCAGAAAACCAGGAGGUGGAUCUUAGAGUUUCUGAGUUGCUUCCACUGUCAAAACCAAACUGACCAAAGAAUUCCAAAGCACUCAGCAUUUUUGUUGGCUUUGGUAAAUUGGAGUCUGAUCAUUUCCCUUUUUUUUUUAAUUAAAUAUUUUCUUGAUGAUUUCUCUGUCACUUGUGUUUCAGGCACACCCUCACUAGGUCUGUGUCUUACUUUGUGUGAGAAAACACUGUGGCUAAAAACACAGAAGGAGGAAGAGGCUUUCUUUCAGCUUUCAGUCCCACAGCACGGUUGUGGUGGCUUGAAUGAAAAUGGCUCCUAUAUCCCCAUGAAGAGUGGAACAAUUAGGAGGGGUGCCCUGUCGGAGUGGUUGCAGUGUUGUUGGAGGAAGCAUGUCAUUGAGGGCGGGCUCUGAGGUCUCAGAAGCUCAAGCCAAGCCUAGAGGUUCACUGUCUGUUCCUGCUGCCUGCAGAUGCAGACAUAGGACUCUCAGCUACCUCUCCAGCACCAUGUCUGCCACCAUAACAAUAAUGGAUUAACCCUCUAACCUGUAAGCCAGCCCCAAUUAAAUGUUUUCCUCAGCCAAGGCAGUGGUGGUGCACGCCUUUAAUCCCAGCACUCAGGAACCAGAGGCAGGUGGAUCUCUGAGUUCAAGGGCAGCCUGGUCUACACAAUGUGUUCCAGGACAGCCAAGGCUACACACCCUGUCUCAAAAAGUCGGAAAAAAAAAAAAACUUUUCCUUUAUAAGAGUUGCCUUGGCUCAUCACUGGAGCAAGUCAAGCAGGGCAGGAACCUGGAGGCAGGAGCUGAUGCAGAGCCACACAGGAACACUGCUUACUGGGUUUCCCCCCAUGCCUUUUCAGCCUGCUUUCUUUCAGCAUCCAGCACCACCAGCCCAGGGGUGGCACUGUCCGGUUAGCUGGGCCCCUCCUACAUCAAUCACCAAUUAAGAAAAUGUACAGAAGGUACUCUGUAGGCUACUAAAAGAAACAUGGACACCAACCCAGUCACAAAACCUUUGACCUACAAUCUGUCCCACCUGAAAAAUAGGGCAAUGGUGCCACAGAACUUGUGGGAGUGGCCAAGCAGCAUCUGAUUUGAUUAAAAGCCCACUCCACAAAAAGGAAUGCAUACCCAACACUGCUUGGGUAACAAGAACCAGAGACUAGAUAGUUCAGAGACCUAGGGGAAAAACAAAACACUACUGGCAAGGGAGAAAAGGAGGGAGGGAAGCAGAGAGGGGAGAGAGAGAGAGAGAGAGAGAGAGAGAGAGAGAGAAGCUUCCUCUGGCAGAAGAUGGGAAGAGAUGCAGAGACCCAUAGUAGAGAAAGAGGCUAAAUUGGAGGUCUCCAUCAAAUCCCUCCCCUCAGAGCUCACAGGGUCCCUUGGAAGGAGAGGCUGGAGGACACCUGGAGAACAAGGCCCUCUGAAUCAGCUAAGCAAAGUACAUAUGAGCUCACAGAGACUGAGGCAGCAGUCACAGGGCCGACAGGGGUCUGCACCAGGUCCUCUGCAUCUGUACCACAGCUGUCAGCUUACUGUUUUUAUGGGACUCCUAACUGUGAGAACGAGUGAUGUCUGACUCCUGUGCCUGCUCUGGGGACUCUUCCUCCUACUGGGCUGCCAUGUCGGACUGCAGUAUCUCAUGUUUUACUUCAUUGUAUUAUUUUGCUUUGCCAUGUUUGGUUGCUAAUCUCUUAGAAGCCUGUUCUUUUCUACCGAGAGACAGAAGGCGAGUGGAUCCAGAGGAAAGAGGAAGUGGGGAGGAAGUCGGAGGAGAAGAGGUGAGGAAAAUGUGGCCGAUGACACACGCCUGUAAAUCCAGCAAUCAGGCAGCUGAGACAGAAAGACAACAACUGUGUUUAAAGCAAGACUUUAUGUUAGCAAUCAAUUUGCUCUCAAGCACAGUUGAGCACUUACAGUGCCGGUUUCAAGAUGGUUUGUUCCAGCAAAACUCCAACAUCACAGCAUUGAGAAGAGAUACAUGGCUCCUACCAAUGGGCAUAUAUGGGCUGCACUGAUUGCACAGUGAUAGAUAGAUAGAUAAAUAGAUAGAUGAUAGAUAGAUAGAUAGAUAGAUA
rnacentral:lncRNA from 1 species